GCCUAGGGUCCUCCCCUCCUCUUUGGGUCUGUUUUCAUCCGUUGUUGCAGCUGCCUGCAUCUUCCUUACUUUGCUCCACGGCCUUCUGCAGCUCUGCUGUUCGGCUCUUCUCAGAGUGAUUUACCAGGAACAUCUUUUCCUUUUCUCCAUGUCUUCCGCCAGAGGUUAACACUGGUGAGAUUCAGGGACACAGCACCCAGAGCAGCUUUUGUCCAAACUCCGUUCACUCAGACCACGGCCGAUGUCCUCCCACCCGUUCCAGUUUGGCCUGGAGCGGAUCCUGUUCCGUGACGCCAAUUGAAGGAUAUAAAAAAAACAACCACAGCAAUAGAAUAAUAUUAAACACAAAGUGAACCCGUCUUCCUUCAUUAAAUAGGUUCUUUUAGAUGUUAAGGAGGAAUUGACUUAACCAGGCUGGCGGAGAAUGAAGACAACCGGACACCUGCAGCAGAUGGGGGAAUCAGUGAACUUUUAUUGAGACAGAGACAACCUCUCAAACAGCUCACAUCAGGAGAUUCCUAAUAUUUGCUGUGAGGAUGGGUAUAUAUUCUCUAAAACUUACAGGAGGGGGUUGUGAGGACAGUGCUGCAUUAGCAGAAAAACAACUCCAUAAAAGGAAAGCGGCCUUGGGUGUUCUAGUCUCUUCGCUUGCAGAUAUCUUUCGCCUGCAGGAUGAGGCGAUCGCUUCUUAUCGCUCUCAAGGCCAAAGUCUUAUGUGUUCAUGGAUUCUCGUACCUGUUAAAAGGAGAAGGGUCUGGCUGCAGCCACUGUGGAGCUCCACACUAACCGGAUACACGUGACCUCCACACUAACCGGAAACACGUGACCUCCACAGUAGCCGUAAACACGCAUGGAUACCGUGGAAGUCUUGCAAAUUGAUCGCAAAGAGAAACACACAGAUCAAUAUCUCAUUGUCGGCACUGGGUCAAGCUGUCAUAGCCCCACAGGUGUGCAAUAAACCCAGAGAAAUCACUGAAACGGUGUUGAACCCAGCACCUUCAAUGUCUGGUGACACUGGACCUCAGGAAAGAGUUGACAACAAGAAAGCCAAUAGAAGGUCUCAACAGAUGCAACUUUUCCUGACCUGUGUGGACCACCGUGCGAACUCUGACAAAGCCUGAGAACAUUUUGGCCAGCCGUUCAUUGUGGUGUUUUGUACCGCACCCUGGCCAACAACAGCUUCUCAACUAUGUUCUGGACAUCAGCAGACCCAAAGAUGAGCUGAUUGUUGAAACGUCUUCUGGAUGCCUCAUGCGGGCAGAUUUUUGGACACUGGGUUUAAACAAACAAAUGGAAUCGACUAUUGGAAAUGGCUGUUUUGAGCUUAUCACUAAAAUUGUCCAGUCAAAGGGGAUAAGCAUUUACAUAGAAAAUCUGUAUGUCACCCGGACUUGGCUUGCACCCUAUGGCUGUGAUCCAUUGCAGUCCUUUCCUACUGAUGCUCAGAGGAUGCACAUCAUAGUUCUCCCUCUCUGGACCCCUGGUCAUUUCCAGUUGUGUGAAUCUUGCAGUGAAGAUCAUUCCCGGGCAGUGGUCAGAAAAAAAGAGCUGUGACUUGAAGGGUUUUCCAAGCCAAGACUAUGGAGUUGACUGUGGGAUCUUCAUGCUGAUGUCUGCUCUGUACGUGGCACUGGAUGCACCAUAUUGACUAUACUGUAUCAGACAUGCCCUACUUGCGUAAAUGGUGGUGCUUGCUGUUGAUGGAGAACUUUGAUCUCAGGAGCUCUGGCAAGCUAUUUGCACACUGGAGAGAGGAAGCCAAAGCUGUGCUUGCAGGACAACAUGUGCCCAUUGUCAGACUGAAAAAGUUCCAGGAAGUCAGUCAGGAGCCAGCAGUUGUUGAAGAUCUGCGUCCUGCUGUGCAGUGGGUUGUCCAAAAUAAGGCACUUUUCCGUGGACACGUAACAAUGCCCAAAUAUCUGUCCUUAAAUCAAGGGGACCAGCAGAGGGUCUUAAGAGACAUGUCAGAGGAAGAAGACACUGGAGCAAGGGACUUGUUCCUCUUUGUUUUUCAGUUUGCAGAGGACAUGGAGCUCUUUUUGAAAGCAUGUGCUGAUGAUCAGGGGCUAAGGGUCAGUGCUAUGUCUGACAUGUAAUGGACAAAUGAAGGCACUGGCUGUGUUUGUUUGUUUAAUAUGUCGUUGUUGUUGUUGUUGUUUUUUGUUUUGUUUUUUGCAUAGUACAAAAUUCCAAUUAAACUUAUUUCAAAAUGUUGUUCACUUGAUUCUGUGUCCAUACUUAUAAUAAA
ensembl:lncRNA